AGUGAACGCUGGCGGUAGGCCUAACACAUGCAAGUCGAACGGCAGCACAGGAGAGCUUGCUCUCUGGGUGGCGAGUGGCGGACGGGUGAGGAAUACAUCGGAAUCUACUCUGUCGUGGGGGAUAACGUAGGGAAACUUACGCUAAUACCGCAUACGACCUACGGGUGAAAGCAGGGGAUCUUCGGACCUUGCGCGAUUGAAUGAGCCGAUGUCGGAUUAUCUAGUUGGGGGGGUAAAGGCCCACCAAGGCGACGAUCCGUAGCUGGUCUGAGCGGCUGAUCAGCCACACUGGAACUGAGACACGGGCCAGACGCCUACGGGAGGCAGCAGUGGGGAAUAUUGGACAAUGGGCGCAAGCCUGAUCCAGCCAUACCGCGUGGGUGAAGAAGGCCUUCGGGUUGUAAAGCCCUUUUGUUGGGAAAGAAAUCCAGCUGGCUAAUACCCGGUUGGGAUGACGGUACCCAAAGAAUAAGCACCGGCUAACUUCGUGCCAGCAGCCGCCGCCG
rnacentral:rRNA from 1 species